rnacentral:rRNA from 1 species
GAUCGAGUUUGAUCCUGGCUCAGAUUGAACGCUGGCGGCAUGCUUUACACAUGCAAGUCGAACGGUAACAGGUUAAGCUGACGAGUGGCGAACGGGUGAGUAAUGCAUCGGAACGUGCCCGAUCGGUGGGGAUAACGCAGCGAAAGCUGCGCUAAUACCGCAUACGAUCUGAGGAUGAAAGCGGGGGACCGUAAGGCCUCGCGCGAUCGGAGCGGCCGAUGUCUGAUUAGCUUGUUGGUGAGGUAAAAGCUCACCAAGGCGAUGAUCAGUAGCUGGUCUGAGAGCAUGAUCAGCCACACGGGCACUGAGACACGGGCCCGACUCCUACGGGGAGCAGCGAGUGGGGGAAUAUUGCACAAUGGA